CCUCUGGAGAGAAGGUAAUGGUACUGUGCAGAUGUGUUAAGUUGUUAGGAUGAUGAGUGGUGGUUCUCUCACUUCACCUUUCUUUAUGUUGCUUCUUUAAUAGCAUUUAUUAAUCUGCAUUAUGCCUUCUGAUAAGCAACUCAGUUUUUUGACUCAGCAGGUAAAGCUAAAACUUGUUCUUCUAGUUGAAAGUAAUCUUACUGAACUUACAGGAAAACUAGUGUUUAUUACAUUUGUGGUAUUUGUGACCUUUGAGCCAGCCCCACCUGUAAACAGAUACACUCUUAUUUCUGUGAGUUAAAUUUUCACUUCCUUAAUUUAUUUUAUUUUAUUAUUAUUUUUUUAAACAAGCUCCCUUUCCUUCAGGAGUUUAUUUUUAAAAAAUAUAUUUUAUUAAUUUUUUACAGAGAGGAAGGGAGAGGGAUAGAGAGUUAGAAACAUUGAUGAGAGAGAAACAUCGAUCAGCUGCCUCCUGCACACCUCCUACUGGCGAUGUGCCUGCAACCAAGGUACAUGCCCUUGACCGGAAUUGAACCUAGGACCUUUCAGUCCGCAGGCCGACACUCUAUCCACUGAGCCAAACCAGUCAGGGCAGGAGUUUAUUUUUAUAUAUAUAUAUUUUUUAUUGAUUUCAGAGAGGAAGGGAGAUAGAGAGAUAGAAACAUCAAUGAUGAAAGAGAAUCAUUGAUUAGCUGCCUCCUGCACGCCCCCCACUGGGAGGAUCAAGCCUGCAACCCAGGCAUGUCCGCUUCCCCCCUCCCCCCCCCCCCCCCCCCCCCCCCGGCCAAACGGAACUGGGACCCUUUAGUCCGUAGGCUGAUGCUGUAUCCCCUGAGCCAAACCUGCAAGGGCCACUUCCUUAAUUUAAAUAUAAAGGCAAGCUCUAGUCCUUGAGUAUUAAUUUGGUCAUAUUUGCCAGUUUUUUCCUACCAGUUCUUUUAGCAUUUAUUGGAAAUCCUUUCUGAGAGCCAUAUUUUUUAAUGGUUUAAGCAGUUGUUUCCUCUGGGUAAUAGAAUCACUUUUCUGUUUAUUCUAAAUUUUCCCUAGUGAGCUCUUGCUGUUUUCAUAAAAUAUAAAUCAAGGGUUCCCAUGACUCCCCUCCUGAGGUUCAAUAAUUUGCUAAAAUGCCUCACAGAACACUGGAAAACAGGUAAUUUACUAUCACUGGUUUAUUACCAACCAAAUGGAAAAGAUACAUAGGGCAAGGUGGAGGGGCGGGGGGGGGGGGGGGGGGAGUGCAGAACUCAUGUCUUUUUCUGGUGUGCCCUCCCAGCACAUUGAUGUGAACACCAGCCAGCAAGCUCUCUGAACCCCAUUGUUUUAUGGAGGUUCCAUUAUAUAGGCGGGAAGGAUUAAAUCAUUGGCCACUGGUGACUAACUUCUACCCUCCCUGGAGGUCAGGGAGUGGAGCUGAAAGUUCCAACCCUCUAAUCACCUGGUCUAAACCCUGGGCAACUAGCCCCUAUCCUGAAGCUAGGGGCCCACCAAGAGUCACCUCAUUAGCAUAAACUCAGGUAUAGCUUUAAGAGAUUAAUUAUGAAUAACAAAUGAUGUUCUAUCACCCCAAUCACUCAGGAAGUUCCAAGAUUUUAGAUCUCUGUUCCAGGAACCAGGAUGAAAGCCAAAUAUAUAUUUUGAAUUAUAUCACAAUAUCACAGUACCUGUUAUGCCUGCCACGUAGAAUUGCAUAUUUGAGAUGAUGUAGUUGAAUAGGGAGCUCAUUACUUCAUGUGGGAGCGGGAUCUAGUUGCAGUCUGUUAACAGAUCUAGUUGCUGCGUGAUUCUUUAUAUUGAGCUACAUUUCACUUUAUUGUGAUGUACACCCACAGUUUUGCUCUCUAGAAUAGUAUAGAACAAAUCUGCUCACUCUUCUGAAAGACUGCCUAUGAGAUAGAGAUGUAUGGCAACCAGCUCUAUCACUAACUUACUGUUAAAGUAAAUCAGCAUGAAAACGGGUAGCUGUACUGAGGAUAAUGUAAUUACUGCAUACCAGCUAUUUUCAACUGUUUCAUCUCGUGGCACACAUAAACUGCUAAAAUUCUGCGGUACACCAAAAAAAAUGUAUUUUUUGCCAUUCCGACAAAAAAAUAGGUAUAACUUUGAUUCACACUGGAUGGCUAUUGUUUUUGUGUUGAUUCUUGUCAUUUUUUUAUUUGACAAUCUAAGGGAAUAGAGAUCAGUGUCCCUAAAUAAAUAGUCAGGUAUUGCAUGUUUUAAAAGUUGUUGCGACACACCAGUUAAAAAUUGCUGUUGUAUAUAAUCCCCACAAUUACAGGCUUAAAGCCUAUUGGUGCUUUGUCCACUUUCACUGUUGUAGUUCUACUUUUCCAGUGAAAACUUAUAAAAGUCUACAGAAAUAAUCCCUUAGGCUCUGCCACCUCAUAGACUUCCUUCUCUACUCUCUCAUCUUCCCGUGUCCAGCUAAAUUAAUAGCUUCUUUGUAAUAUUCCAUUUGGCAUCAUUUUUUAUUUUUCUUCUUUAAUUCUUAUGAAACUGGACAACCAAUGGGUCUGGGCUGCCUGUCACUACUUGAACCAAUUAAGCUGAGACAGGGUUGAAUCAUUUAUGAGCGUUUAUUCCAAUAAUGCCAGCAGUAUGGGAGAGCAGCAGGUCAUCCACAAAAAUCUGCUCUUGCCCACCUGGUGUGCUCAGUGGUUGAGCGUCGACCUAUGAACCAGGAGAUCGAAGUUUGAUUUCCACUAGGGGCACGUGCCUGCGUCGUUGGCUUGGUCCCCAGUCAGGGGCAUGCAGAAAGCAGCCUAUUGGUGAUUCUCUCUCAUCAGAUGCUUCUUUCUCCAUCUCCCUUUCUCUCUGAAAUCAAUUUUUUAAAAAACCUGCUCUACCCCUUCCCAUAUCCCAGCUGCUCAUAUUGGGUAGAAGGAGAAAGAUUACAUGGGAAAGUAGGAAUUGCAGGCAUGGGAAGUGGGCAAGGUGUAAUGGUUACAGGUUACAGGCCAUGUGGGCUGGGGUGCAAAGGGCAGGCAAAGGUCGGUACCUCUAGAGCAGGGGUGGGCAAACUUUUUGACUCGAGGGCCACAAUGGGUUCUUAAAGUGGACCGGAGGGCCGGAACAAAAGCAUGGAUGGAGUGUUUGUGUGAACUAAUAUAAAUUCAAAGUAAACAUCAUUACAUAAAAGGGUACGGUCUUUUUUUUUUUUAGUUUUAUUCAUUUCAAACGGGCCGGAUCUGGCCCACGGGCCGUAGUUUGCCCACGGCUGCUCUAGAGCCAGAUUGUCUCAGCAACAAGGUGGUUAAUCUUUCCAUGAUGAUGGGCCGUUCUCGGAAGAGGAGGAUGGACUGCAUUCUGAUGUUGGCUAGAGUACAGCUCUCAGCCAGGUGCUUCCUAUAUGUGCCCUGACUGGAGAUAGAACUUGAAACCUUAGAGUAUCAGGACGAUGCUCCAUCCAACUGAGCUACCCAGCCCGGACUAAAAAGUAUUUACCCUCUUUUUUGUUGUUGUUAAUCCUCACCCGAGGAUAUUUUUUCCAUUGAUUUUUAGAGAGAGUGGAAGGGGGGGAAGAGACAGAGAGAGCCACAUCGAUGGGUUGCCUCCCACAGCCCCAACGAGGCUAGGGAUCAAGCCUGCAACUGAGUUCAUGCCCUUGACUGGAGUUGAACCCGUGACCCUUUAGUCCCGGCCGACACUAACCACUGAGCAAAAAGGCUAGGGCUGUUUACCCUCUUAUGGCAAAUAAUUUCCAGGUAGUAAGGGAACAGGUUUUAUAACCUCCACUUGAUGUUCCCCUUAUUAUUCAUAUGUGCCUAAAGGUUAUAACAAUGAAAAGCACAGAGGCCAGGUCAUUUAAAGGUCCAUUUACCUCUCCAUACUGACCUUAAAAUAACUGCUCCUAACAUUUGUUUGUAUUACCUGCAUAGGGUCAGGGGAUUUGAAUACCAUACCUGUUCUGAGACUUCAUGAAGUAAAAAGUUGUCAUCCUACUCAUUCUCCCAUCUACCCAGAUCAAAUCUCUAGAUGUUAUUAGCCUUCUAUAUAUCUUCCCAGAAUUUCAUAUACAUGUACAAGCAAAAUAUGUAUUUGCCCCUUGUUUUUGGACACACUGUUCUGCUUUUUUUCUGUCAAAAAAUAGCAUAUCUCAUGGAAACUUCAACUUUUUUUUUACAGCUUUAAAGUAUUUUAUUAUACAGAUAUACCAUAAUUUAUUAAUCAGACACUUUUGAUGGACAUUUAGUUUGUUUUAGUUUCUUAUUAACCUCUAGAGUGCUGGGGAGCACGAUCGCGCUCCUCCUGUCUUUUACCAAAAGUGCCCGGAGCGCUAUCAAAGCUUCGAAAUGGCGUCCAGUUCUAAGUCUGCUUUUAUUAGUGAUGAUGAUAUUACUAAACAUGUCAAUGUAGUAAAGGUUUCCUUAAGUUUUUGAAUAUGUAACUUCAUUUACUUGCAAUUCAUAAUUUUUUUCCUAAACUGUAAAAUCAGCAAAAAUGCCUUGGCAAUUUUAGCAUAGUUCCUAGGAUAUUGGUUGGCACUCAAAGGGUUAAUAA